rnacentral:lncRNA from 1 species
AAGCCAUGGCUUAGUUGCUGGCUUUGCAGACUUGAAUUCGGAGCAGUAAUUUCAGUUCCCUGUUCAGAGACUGCAGACUCAGAGAGAGAGAUAGUGCGCUGGAGACGGUGUCCUUCUGAGUGGGCACAACCUACAGCUGUGAGACCCGGAACCCAGAACCCAGCAGAACCCAGGUCAUGUGGAGCUCAGGUUUCCAAGAAGACAGCAGCAGCUCCUCUGAGAAUGAAGAGGAAAUUCAGUGUGAGGAGUUGCUGCUGGAGAGGGAUGAGGAGGAGCAGAACCUGUCUGAGCUUGAACAUGUGUCCUUGCAGCUGCUGCAGGAGAUCAGUGCCCUGGAGGUGCAGUUUGAGAUUGAACGCUCCUGCAGAGAAACUGCUGAGGACUUUGCUGCUAAGAUUUCGAAGGAGAACAAGAUCCUGAAGAGGCAGAGCCAGGCACUGCUGCCUCUCAUUCCCGAGAUCCCCGAGGAUCUGGAGAGCGUGGCCCUCUCCCCGGAUCCCGACACCGACCCCGACCCUGCCACAGAGUCCCUGCUGCACUGCCAGGCUCAGAUCAGAGAGCUGCAGGGCUCUCUGGCCAGUCUGCUGGGAGACAAGAACCACCUGUCUGCCCAGGUGGAGGCACUGCAGAGGGAGCAGGCCAGGCUCAGGGAGCAGCUGGCAGCGGAGCGAGAGGAGAAGGAGAGCCUUCUGAAGAGACUGAACAAGCAGAGCAAGACCCUGCACAGGCUGAGCCGAGUGUCCCAGCUGGUGUCCCAGGAGCACAGUGAGCUGUCCCAGAGGCUGGAGGUGGAACAGGACCUCAGACAACAUGCAGAGGUCUUUGCUCACCAGAUGCUGGUGAAAAACAAGGAGGCGUCGCGGCAAAGCCUGCUCCUGCUGCAGAGUCCUGAGCCCACGCCACAGCUGCUGCAGGUCCAGAACCAGCUGGCCCAGAUCACCACUAUCCUGGAGGAGCUCCGGCUGCAGCACUGCAGCAAGGUGACGGGGACACAGGCUGCACUGGAGGAGAGCUCCCUGCUCAACGAGCUGCAGGGCGUGAAGGCGCAGCUGGAGGUGUGUGAGGAGGAGAAGAGGAACAUGGAGAGCCAGGUCCACGAAGCUCAACGCACUGUGGCGGAGCUCCGAGAGGCGGUGAACCAGCUCCAGGAAAAGUUGAAACAAGUCGAAUCCUCUCCUCCUGAGACUGACCAAUCACAAGAGGCACCACAAGCUCCUGCCCCUCCUCCUCCUCCUCCUCCGCCCCUCCCUCCUCCAGUCCCUACUGCUGUCGUCAGUCCACUGGAGGCCUUGAGGAACAGGAGGAGGAAUCAGCAGCACAACCCACCAUCAAACACUCAGCAGCCUCUACUGGAUGUGAAGACCCAGGCAGUCAAUGAGAUGAUGGAGCGCAUCAAGAAUGGGAUCGUGCUGAGAUCCAUCUCAAAGUCACACAAGGUCGUGGGAGAGGAGGACAGUGCCUGGAAGGAUCAGAUGAGUGAAAAACGAAAGAGUGUGGUGAAUGAAUUGCAAGGGAUUUUGGGCUCCAUCCAGCGGUCCAAGCUGAAGAGGAUAUCCCGGCGUGCUUGCAGCCGCAAGGUAGGGGAACAGGAGCUGCUGGCCGUGCUGCAGAGGAGGAGGAGGGUGAUGGGAGAGGAGUCGGACUUCACCCCCCAGCCCAAACAACAGGACCUGCAUCCCACGAGCCCAGCAGACAGCACCCUGCCCCCCGCCGGUGAGAACUCCAGUAACCCUGUCCAGCGCCGUCGGAAAACCAACAAAGAGGACAGGGCAUCCCGAAUCCGUGCAUCCGGGUCUGUCUGGAUGGAGAGCUGGGAGAAGCACUGA